GGCACUCUCUCCCCAAACAUGAAACAUGAAUUCAACAAAAAUAAAUUCAAGGAGAAGAACUAAUCAACACUCUGCAAAUUCAAUAAACAAGAAAAAGAAAACCAAUUCAAGCAUCGCAGCAAAUUCAAGAACAGAAGAACAAAAUCCCUAAUUUCUAUGGUGGAGGAGAGAAGAGACGAGGCGAGGCGCUGGUGGAUUUGCAGAGAAGCGGCGACGAGCCAUGUUUAACUCCGGCGACGGCAACAGUAGGCGGAGCCAUACCUGCGUGCAAGACCAAGUCCGACAGCCCCACCUCUUCGCCUGAUUUCUCUCCUCUUCGCUGCCUCAUCUCUCCCCCUAGUUCAGCCCCAAGUUCUCUGUGUCUUUCAACAGAUUCAGAGCGGCGCGCCCCUCUGUAAACCCCAACCCCCAAAUUGCUAACCCUCAUUUCUUCUGUAAGCCCUAAUUUCUACAGGCGGCGGCGGUGGCGGCUCCGGCCGUUCGACCAAAGAAAAUGAAGUAGGAGGGGCGAAAUCGAAGGGGUGGUUUUUGGAUUUGGGGAUUUAGGGCUCGGAGGAGGAGAGAGAGGUGGAGACGGCAGCCGUCGCUGCUGCUUCGCCGAAGGGAAGCCGAUGGCGGCUAUGUGCCCGGCGACUGUGUGUGUGUCUGUGUUUUGUGAGAACAGAGGGAGAGACGAGAAUGGAAGGCAGACGAGAGAGAAAGAGGAAGCGGUGGCGAAGAGGUAAUCGACGGAUUUACAGAGGGGGGAGGGGGGAGGCGACGCCAGGCGGAAGGGGAGAGGCGGCGCCGGCGGAACAGAGGGGAAAGGGGGGAGGUGGCGCCGGCGCCGGCGGAACAGAGGGGGAAGGGGGAGGCCGGUUUACAGAGGGGGAAGGGGGAGGUGGUAGAGAGAGAGAGCAGUAGGUGUGAUUCAUUCUAAUAAAGGGGAUUUGUUUAGUUGAGUUAAUUAAAAUCAUGUUUAAUUAGAAAUUAAUGAACCCUUAAAAUUUACCUAAAAAGGAAAGGGGACAAGAUUAUUGGGACAGAC
rnacentral:lncRNA from 1 species